UAGACGAGUUAAAAUAACUCGAAAAUUAAAUUUUCUUGAUAAUCAAAAGCUAAGCUUGACGUCAAGAAACUUAAGUUUAAGAAUUCAAGUUCAUUGGUUGUUGAGUCUGAGUCUCCACCACCGCUAUCGAUGGAGCCAGAAUCGGAAGAGAGAAAAGUUACAUUGAUAUCUCUUUCUCCUAAGGAAGACCAAAGCUUCAACACGGUACUAGGAUAUCAUUUGCAAGAUUAAGAAGGGUGGGAAGAAGCGUGAUUUUUCAGAGCCAAAAUUAUAGGAGAAAUGGCAACAUCAAUGGAACAAGCCAAAAGUGAAACGGAUCUCACAGUUGUAUGCAAAGAAUGGGAUGUCGCAGUCUAGUGAUAGAUCCAAGCCAUCCACUCACAUUGGAGGCACUACUACCUAUUACGAGUAUGGGAGACGACCUAUAAUAAUUUUAUUAAAGUUAGUUUAAGUAACUUUAUAAAUUCUUAUAUAUUUUAUGACAUCAAUGUAGUAUUUAAAUAAUAUGUACUGUUCUUUUAGACUACACAACUAGGUCGACUACCUACUCCUGCAAAGUUAUUUGUUCACCUAUAUACUAAGAAUAAAGAUGGUCAUACAUUGAUCAG